UAGCAAACAGGAUGUAGGAGUUUUGCAGGAGUUUAGCGGGAAGUGUGCGGGGGAGCCUGGAACAAGCCCCUGCGAUCACAAGGAUCACAAGGAGCCUGGUGGAGAAGAGAACGGAGCAUAUUCCAAAGCCCUGGGGCAGCCACAGAGAAGGCCCGGUCCCAAGUUGACACCAAACGAGCUGGCAACAACCAUAACCAGACCUCUCCAGAAGAUCUUAAUAGGCAACGGGGGUUCAUGACAGAGAAGGUGCUCUCUUAAGUACCCUGGACCCAAGCCAUUGAGUGCUUAGAAUUUAGGAAGCAACGUAGCCCUUUUUGUGUUGUGUGGGUCUGCUCGUGUGCCCUGGCUCUGCACCAACUACAGAACAUGAGAUGAAAGGGAAUUCAGUGCUAUAAAUGUGCCUCAUACAACUCCUUGAUCUCAUUAGGGCCAUCUAGGUAGAAUGGGACACACCAAGACCUAGUGUAUAGUUGCAAGACUCAGUAAACUCCUAUACUUUCAAGCUAUUUUGUGCUGUCCAGUUCCUUCUGAGUCCUUGGGACACAACUUGAUGAGUCCAUAACCCCUAGGUCCUCUGAUGGGGUUUGUUGGGACAGAUAUGGAAAGAUUUGGAGGAUGUUUGCAUACCUGCCAACUUGUCCCUAUUUUCCCAUUCAGGCAAAUGGGAAAAUAGGGACAUGUUGGCUGGUAUAUAUUUAGUGAAUGUUAAAUCCAUUUUAGAUCUCAGUACUGUUGAAGUUACUUUGGUUUCUGUGGAGCAGAUCAUAGACUGGAUAAGCGAAUAUUUAUUAGCAGCGGUAGCAUAAUAUCUUUAUUAGGUUCAGAUGAAAGGAACAAACUAGUUUGAAGGUCAGAAACAAAUUACUCCCCCUAGGUCUGAAAACUGGGUGCAGGACCUGCUUGACCUGGUGGCACAUGAAAAAUGGGCCCUCUUAAAAGUAAAUAAAUUGGAUAAAUGGUCAGAAAUCUGGGACAACUUCCUUGAAUUAUUCCUAGAAUAGAAACCCCUCUGAUCCACCCACACCUACCAGUGCAAUGGUCCAUCCACAAUGCUUGCUUAAUUCAACUGCACUGGGGAUUCUGCACCAAUAGUGCUCUGGAUCCUGUCCAAGAAAUACAAUUCCAACAAAUAAAAAAGAAAAAGUUAUGCCAGUCUGGCACAAGAGGAGGAAGACCCUCAUCUGAAACCUUCCAAAUUCACCAGCCUCUUUUAAGAACUCGUCAAAAGACGGCAUUGUAGUCAGUAUUUUUCUCCAAGUCCGAUGAAUCCAAGAGGUGACAACACUAACAGCUCUCAAACUUUUCAGCUACUGCUGGUACUUCCUAUAAAUCAUGUAUGCGCUCUCUCUCUCUCACUCUCCCUUGCCCACACACAUGUAAUCAAGUAGUAUAAGUAAAGCAACACUAGGAAAGAGCAAAGUUUCACACAGACACACAGAGAGACAGUUAUAAUGUCCAUUUGGCACAAAGCUUACACACAGCAAUUUACACACCAUAAAGUUGGCAAACAUACAGCCCAAAAGAGGGGGCGUAUAUUUCCUAUCUUACCAGAAGGAGAGAUUACAUAAUCAAAACAGUUAACUCUUUCGGGGCAGGCAAUCCACAAGAUACAAAGCAGGACAGAAUAUUUCCCCUAACAAUCAGUCCCAAUAUAACACACGCUAGACAGAAAAUAUAAAAAGGGAGUUGCUUUGUAAGAGUCCACAAAGCUUCUGCCUCCCUCUCUUCCCAGUGCACAAGAGUUAUUGCUGCAGUAGUGGCUAAUUAAGUAAUGCCUAAUUAAAGUGGAUUCUUAGAUAGAUAUCCAUAUAGCCUGUUGCUCUGAGGUUAUAAAAUGCAGGGCAAGCGAAAUUAGAGGUGUCGUGGGGAAAGCCAAAACAAGGAAAAUGUCCACUAGUGACAAAGAGGAAGGAGCUGGACAGAGGGGUCAGAAAGGAGAGAAGAAAAAGCAUAAAUACGGGACAUUAAAGAGAUUAGGAAGAGCAGUCACAGAACAACAGAAACCAAUAGGCUGAAAGGAGAUUUUUGUGAGGGGGACUGACUGUUAUCUAACCAGUCAUGAAUAAACCAUAGGUGAAACUGGGCGGGGGGGGGGCAGCCAGGGCACGUGCCCUAGGUACCACUGGGUGGGGCGCCAGUGCUAUGCUGCCCCUCACCCCCUCACAAAUUCAUGGGGUUUUUUUAAAUUAAAAAAAAUUAACUGUAGCCCCUUCAGGGGGCUUCCAAAAGGCCACGGGGGGUCUGCAAGAGUUCCCCCUCCCCCCACCGGCCUCUUAGAUUACCACCACAGCCCAUCCCAGGCUGAUUUUCUCGCCUGUUUGGGCAAAGAUCAGGGUGGUGGCCAUUUUGGAGAUUGCCGCACAUGCUCAAUAGGCCUCUGCGAGGCCUGGCAAGGCAUAGGACCUCGCAGGGACCAUUUGAGCAUGUGCGAUGGCCAUUUAAAAAAAAUUUAAACGCUUCUGAAAACAAAAAUGGCCACCACACAUGCUCAAAUGGCCUCUGCAAGACCCAAGUCUAGAUCUUUCCCUGAUCUAGGGAGUCAGAAGAAUACAAAGUUGUUGGCAAAGGACUCGAGCAUUUAAAAAACAGAUAUAAAUGGCACAAAAGUAAGUGGACAAAACAUCCCUUAAAAAGACAAUGUUGGUUUAAUACCUUGUAAGCCGGCAAAACUGAAGGGUGGGGUCGGGGGAGAGGCAAGGAAUAAAAUAGAAAUAUUCACUCACAGGCUGUUUAAUUCUCUAUACAGAGCUCAAACUUAUGUGGUGCUUAAAAAAACUGUUGUAAGAAUUCACACCCAGAAAUGUUGCAUUUGCAAUGUAUUGCCAUCCCUGUGUUGUGCAAUCUUACCAUACUGAGAAAUGGCUUGUCUUUUGAAAUAAGUGGUUAACGUGCUGCAAAUUAUUUCCUUCAAUUUAGCUGAGUUGUAUUCGGGUUUGUAUUGCCUGUGUACAUCCCAAGUAGAUUUGGUCAAGUUUCCUUGCCUUCUAAAAAAGUUAUAUUUUAGCAUGUCUUUUUAAAAAAAAAUCAAUGCAACUCCCUUUUUACUUUGAACACAAUUGUGUUUAAAAGACACAUUGAAUAGUCAUGCUGUGAUUCUGAUUGACUAGUGCAUUUGAUAAAUUAGACAUAAAAGUUUACUGUCCAGUC